CACGCCGUAAACGUUGGGCACUAGGUGUGGGGACUUUCCAACGGUCUCCGUGCCGAAGCUAACGCAUUAAGUGCCCCGCCUGGGGAGUACGGCCGCAAGGCUAAAACUCAAAGGAAUUGACGGGGGCCCGCACAAGCGGCGGAGCAUGUUGCUUAAUUCGAGGCAACGCGAAGAACCUUACCUGGGCUUGACAUGUAGGGAAAAGCCGUAGAGAUACGGUGUCCUUCGGGGCCCUACACAGGUGG
rnacentral:rRNA from 1 species